rnacentral:rRNA from 1 species
GAUGAACGCUAGCUACAGGCUUAACACAUGCAAGUCGCGGGGCAGCAUGGGGGUUGCUUGCAAUCCCCGAUGGCGACCGGCGCACGGGUGAGUAACGCGUAUUCAACCUGCCCUUCACCACGGGAUAACCCGGCGAAAGUCGGACUAAUACCGUAUGUUGUCCAUUGACGGCAUCCGAUUUGGACGAAAGGCUUGGCGGUGAGGGAGGGGGAUGCGUCCGAUUAGCCAGACGGCGGGGUAACGGCCCACCGUGGCUACGAUCGGUAGGGGUUCUGAGAGGAAGGUCCCCCACACUGGAACUGAGACACGGUCCAGACUCCUACGGGAGGCAGCAGUGAGGGAUAUUGGUCAAUGGGCGUAAGCCUGAACCAGCCAAGUAGCGUGCAGGAGGACGGCGCUAUGGGUUGUAAACUGCUUUUAUGAGGGGAUAAAGUGGCCCACGUGUGGGCUUUUGCAGGUACCGCAUGAAUAAGGACCGGCUAAUUCCGUG